AUAAAAUUAUGAUACUUAAAUUAUGGUAGUGAAAGUUUUGGGGAAAAAGUAAAUAUUUGGAUAUAAAUAUUUACUUCAUAUGCAAAAUGGUAAAUUAAAAUUUAAAGAUGAAAUGACAUAUUUGCCCCUCUGGGAAUUUCACACACUCAAUCUACCUCGUGUAUUCCGUAAUUCCUUUUCAAAAAAUUUAGAAGUAACAUACAACUACAGUGCAGCGGACUACAUUUUUAGUUUUAUUCUUCCGCCGGAGCUAUGGAUUCCGGUGACUGGCGGACUCAAUUUCCGCCUCAUUCUCGUCAAACGGUUGUCAACAACAUGGAGGUCGAGUGUGAUUCUACUUUGUGGUAGGCUUAUUUUUUGUUAUUAUCUAUUGUUUAUUUCUACCUAUUGUUUCUUGUUCUUAUAUUAUGUUUUUCUCUAGAAUAUUUUGUCUUGAGUCGGGGGUCUUUCGGAAACAACCUCUUUACCUCACCUCUGAGGUAGUGGUAUGGACUGCGUACACUUUACCCUCCCCAGACCGCCACUUUGUGAGAGUAAUGAGUAUACUGGGUAUGUUGUUGUUGUUGAGAUGAAACACGUAUGCCCCAGUGCGGAGGUAUGAGAGGUUGACAAUGGAUGGUUUUAGGAGAGGUAGGGGUAGGCGAAGAAAUAUUGGUGUGAGGUGAUUAGACAGGAUAUGGAGAAGUUACAACUUAUCGAAGACAUGACCCUAGAUAGGAGAGUGUGGAGGAUGCGCAUUAGGUAGGAGUUUAAUAGGGAGGAGGGCGUCCUUGCUAGUAGGUAAGUGUGCUUUGUUUUUUGGUUUGUACUAGUAGUCGUAGUGCUACGCUUGUAGUGGAUUUUUUUUUUGGAGUUUGGUGAUGCUUUUGUGUUUUUCGAGUAGAUCAAUUGUAGUAUUACUUCGUGGUAGUCAGUUGUGACUUGUGUGGGUGGAGAGGAAAAAAUGCAACUUGAUUUCCCACUUUUAUUUGGGAAGUCAUUUUCAUUACUUUCAAGGAGCUUGUUUAGAAAUACUUUUCAAAAUGUUUGACCAAUGAAAUAGGCACAAGUAUACCCCAAAUUAUACCCGAAAUUGCUACGGCACACCCGAAAAGUACGGGGUCUUAUUACCCUUUAAACUCAUUUUUCUGUAUUUAUGUACUUCUUUUGUGUUGACAUAGCUGCCAAGUCAGCACAAAAGGGGUAUGGAAAUAUUCUGCUACUUGGCAGCCACGUCAGCAAAACAGGAGCACAAAAAUUUUAAAAAUAUGAGUUUAGCGAGGUAAUAGAAUCUCUGUAAAGUUUAGGUGUGUCAUAGCAACUUGGGGUAUAGUUUAGGGGGAUACUUGUGCAUUAUCUCUUUGACCAAUUGAACACGAGAAAAUAACAAAAUGUUUCCUGCAUACUGAAUACACCCCAAGUGGAAGAUCUACUUUGCUCUCUAAACCUUAUAUUUUGUUUUGGAUUUGUUGAAAUGGCAGCUUGUUGCUCGAGCUAAUUGGAUUAUAACUCUUGAUAUUGUAACAACAACAUAACUAGUAUAAUCCCAUGAGUGGGGUCUGGCGUGGGUACAGUGUACACAAACUUUACCCUUAACUACCCUCAACUCAAGGAAAAA